rnacentral:rRNA from 1 species
GACGAACGCUGGCGGCGUGCUUAACACAUGCAAGUCGAACGGAAAGGCCCUGCUUUUGUGGGGUGCUCGAGUGGCGAACGGGUGAGUAACACGUGAGUAACCUGCCCUUGACUUUGGGAUAACUUCAGGAAACUGGGGCUAAUACCGGAUAGGAGCUCCUGCUGCAUGGUGAGGGUUGGAAAGUUUCGGCGGUUGGGGAUGGACUCGCGGCUUAUCAGCUUGUUGGUGGGGUAGUGGCUUACCAAGGCUUUGACGGGUAGCCGGCCUGAGAGGGUGACCGGCCACAUUGGGACUGAGAUACGGCCCAGACUCCUACGGGAGGCAGCAGUGGGGAAUAUUGCACAAUGGGCGGAAGCCUGAUGCAGCAACGCCGCGUGCGGGAUGACGGCCUUCGGGUUGUAAACCGCUUUCGCCUGUGACGAAGCGUGAGUGACGGUAAUGGGUAAAGAAGCACCGGCUAACUACGUGCCAGCAGCCGCGGUGAUACGUAGGGUGCGAGCGUUGUCCGGAUUUAUUGGGCGUAAAGGGCUCGUAGGUGGUUGAUCGCGUCGGAAGUGUAAUCUUGGGGCUUAACCCUGAGCGUGCUUUCGAUACGGGUUGACUUGAGGAAGGUAGGGGAGAAUGGAAUUCCUGGUGGAGCGGUGGAAUGCGCAGAUAUCAGGAGGAACACCAGUGGCGAAGGCGGUUCUCUGGGCCUUUCCUGACGCUGAGGAGCGAAAGCGUGGGGAGCGAACAGGCUUAGAUACCCUGGUAGUCCACGCUGUAAACGGUGGGUACUAGGUGUGGGGUCCAUUCCACGGGUUCCGUGCCGUAGCUAACGCUUUAAGUACCCCGCCUGGGGAGUACGGCCGCAAGGCUAAAACUCAAAGGAAUUGACGGGGCCUCGCACAAGCGGCGGAGCAUGCGGAUUAAUUCGAUGCAACGCGUAGAACCUUACCUGGGUUUGACAUGGAUCGGGAGUGCUCAGAGAUGGGUGUGCCUCUUUUGGGGUCGGUUCACAGGUGGUGCAUGGCUGUCGUCAGCUCGUGUCGUGAGAUGUUGGGUUAAGUCCCGCAACGAGCGCAACCCUUGUUCACUGUUGCCAGCACGUUAUGGUGGGGACUCAGUGGAGACCGCCGGGGUCAACUCGGAGGAAGGUGGGGAUGACGUCAAGUCAUCAUGCCCCUUAUGUCCAGGGCUUCACGCAUGCUACAAUGGCUGGUACAGAGAGUGGCGAGCCUGUGAGGGUGAGCGAAUCUCGGAAAGCCGGUCUCAGUUCGGAUUGGGGUCUGCAACUCGACCUCAUGAAGUCGGAGUCGCUAGUAAUCGCAGAUCAGCAACGCUGCGGUGAAUACGUUCCCGGG